UACGAAGGGGGCUAGCGUUGUUCGGAAUCACUGGGCGUAAAGGGCGCGUAGGCGGCCGAUCAAGUCGGGGGUGAAAGCCUGUGGCUCAACCACAGAAUUGCCUUCGAUACUGUUUGGCUUGAGACCGGAAGAGGUAAGUGGAACUGCGAGUGUAGAGGUGAAAUUCGUAGAUAUUCGCAAGAACACCAGUGGCGAAGGCGGGUUGCUGGGC
rnacentral:rRNA from 1 species